rnacentral:lncRNA from 1 species
CCCNUGGCAUUGUUGAUUCUCCUCUUCAUCGAUUGUGGUGGUGGUCACGGUGGUUGUCACGGUGGUGGCUAAGACUUCGUCCAUGGCCAUGAGAGCCAAGAGGAGGAUAGCACCAACACUUAUAAUUUUCUUUACCAUUGUAAAUUCGAUCUCUGGUGGAGGAAUGGUGGUGAAGUGUAUUACUAUUUAUAGUGAGUUCGGAGGCUUGCAUGGUAUUUUACGUGUUGAAAUUGUGUUCGAGGUGGCUAAAUCUUGCUUCCACGUACAACAAUUGCAUGCAAAUUAUUCCACACGUGGCAUGCAUUGAUAUCGAGGUAACUACUUUUUUUGCCUUUCCUAUUUCAGUAAAAUAAUUUCUCAUAUGGUAACUUUUCUCAUCCAUUUUUUAAAAUAUUUUUUUAACAUAAGUUUAAGCUAUUUGUACAUUCUGCCUUACAUAUCUCUUAACAUAUUAGUUAUGGGGCAAUUUGUUAAUGGCUGGAUUAAAGAUGUGAAAGAUGGUGUGAUAACUUGCCAAAUGUAAAUUAUACAAGUCAAGAUAUACAUGUAGUAAGAUUGUUUUACAUAUCCUCAAUAAAAGUAACGUGUUGUUUACUUGUUUAUGAGCCUAGCUAUUUAGAGUUUAUCUGGAUGAGGGCUAGAACCAUUUGUAUUUUUCCUACAAUUAAGAAUUCUAUUUCACGUGACUUGUAAACCCUUGAAAGUGUAGAGAUAAACUACAAAUAUGCCUACAUUGAUUCUCUCUAUUGCUCAUGAAGAGUGAUUGAGAAAAUAUUGCAUCCUCUAGCUGUCACCCAUCAUGAAAAUAAAGAAAAAAUUUGGGUUUACAUAUAAUAUGUUUUAUUAGAGAGUGUGUGGUUGAUAAAAAAGAAAAAAGAAAAAUGUAUUUUGAAAUUAAUGAAGCCUAGAAAGUUGCUAAAAUAUUUUUCAGUUAGUAAUAAAAUUAAAUGUUAAAUACAAAGAGUUUGUUGGAGUACUUAAAAAUUUUUACUAUCUAAAUUUAUAGAAGCUCUCUAAAUUGUAUAUACUCUUUAAAAAUGAAGUUCUAUUGGAGAUGUUCUAAGACAUUAAGCUUUUGUUUGGUGAAAAUUAAAAUUAAAUUUUUAGUAGAUUUUGAUAAAAGUUGAUAAAUAUGUGGCUGAAUGUUAUGGGCCUGUUAAAUAUGGCAUUGAAAUUAAUUGUCAACUUUGACUUAAACUAAAAUCUUGAUUUUAAUUUUCACCAAACAGAUUUAUUUAUUUAUUUUUGGUUGAAUAUUGAAUAAAAAUUGGGACUUUGGAAUUUUCUUAGUCUUUCGAUCUAAAUGAGUAUUUCUGCAUAAGAAUCAAUGGUUUGUUGACUAAGAAUUAAUUCUUGGUAUUUGUGCGCGAAUGAACGAGUCUUGACUGUCAAGUAUCCAGUACACUUAUAAAAAAUUGAUGGAUAUUUUUAGUUUCUUCUUAGUUACCGUUAAUUUAUCUCUCCGGCCUACAUCAGAACCUUUUGCUGCUGAAAAUGCUGAGGCCCUCGUACUAAGAGAAGGUCUGAUUUUCACUCGAGAUAUAAUGGUUGAAUUCAGUCAAAUUCUUUGAUUGUUUCGGGAAAUUAAAGCACUGAGGUGGAAUUGGUUUGUGGCACUUAUUGCUUUACUCCCAAGAGGGGAAUAAGGUGGCUCUCAAACUCGCUUCUAUAGCUGCAGAGGGUCUAGUACUCUAGUUGAUAAAGUUUUGGUCGAUUGUAUUCGAUAUUCCAUCUUGCCUGUAUAGCGCAUCAAUGGUUAAUAAAAUUCUUGUUUCCAGGGAAAAAAAAAUGUCUGCAUCUUAUUCUUUCAUCUUCCUUGGGAGUAAGUAUUAGAAUUAGCUUCCGCAUUACUUUAUUUUAUCUAAGAGCUCCAAAAUAUAUUGAUUUAUAACCAUAUUAUGUACUGGAAACGUUUCACCAUACUUUGUCGUCCCCAUUGUCCUUCAGUUAAAAUGGAGUUGAAACAUAAGUUCCAUAGUGACUUUCUUUGUCGCAUUUGGGUAAAUCUAACAAUUUGUUUUGAACUGCUGUAGUGUGGAAAUUUACUGUCAUAUCAUUUACUGAUAUUAGAGUCUCUAUGUCCAAGUCGUUAUAUCAUAGUACUAUUUGCUUUGGUAGAGCAUCUACCCUUUUACCUCUCACAACUUUGUGUCACAUCCUCUAGAAUUCGAACUCAAGACUUCUACCUUAUGAAAACUUCAGUUAAAUCCUUAUGAUCUAAUGGGUUAAGCAUAGAGGUUCCAGUCAUUAUCAUAUCUAUAUAUUGGUAGUAUGAAGCUGUAUGCAUAAUUUUGUUUCUCAUGUUUCUAUUUUCUUAACAAAACAUGCCUUAUUGAGUAAAUUCAAGACAGGAUCCCAGUGUACCAUUUGCAUCUUAUGGUUUUAAUGGACAGGAAGACUUUUGUGUGAUAUUGUGUCAAUCACCAGUACAAUAUGAGCCAUGCCAUAUCGCGAGGCAAAGAAUUCAAAAGAUUCUGCUCUGUGUAGCCUGCAUUUAGGCAAACAACCUUGCAUGCCCUAUAUUCAUUUAAACCAGCAACUACUAUACCCAAUCUUCCGUUUCCUUGUAAUUCAUGAUCAAAGGGCUGCUAUGGAGUGUGAUGAUCAAAUCAUUUGAAUUUCUACCUUUAAUUAUUUCAUGUCGUCAAGAAAAUCAUGGCUUCCCAUGUCUAGAAUUACCUUUGCCUCUAUAAUUAGAAUAUUUUUGGAAACUUGAACCGGAUUUAGUAGUGAAUCAAAUCAUGGUAUACAUAUAUGUACGCAUGAAUUUUGUGUGAAACUUUAUUCGUAAAUGAAUCAAAGGGAACCUGAUUUCCGGCACGAACAACAAAUGCAAGUGAUAAGACGAUGCCUCUAGCCGACGGAAUUGGAAAGACAAAAUGGAUAAGCAGCAAGCCAAAGAGGGGUUGUGCUCAGUUUCAAUCCUGCUACCCACGAAUUAUUAAAUUGUUGCCUUUUGGCUUGCUUUUUCUGUGCUCUUAUUUCAUGUACUACUGAUAUUACGGCCUGUGUGUUAAUUACACGGAUUAUGCUGCUUUGUCAGAUGAAUUCCUGUGUAACGAAAAAUGAUUUGAUGGAAAAGAUAACUGUGUUUUAAACAGUCCAAUAAUAGAAAUGUAGUAUUAUGUCAACAAUUAUAUUAAUAAUUCUGGCACUGUAGCAUGAUUGUAAUAACUUAGUUGACUUUUGCCAUGACUCUUUUGUAAGAGAGAUCCGGAAGCUAAAUCACAAGAGAGAGAAUAAUAGACAC